UAGCCUACUCUGCACCGUCUACAGCGAAAAUGGGACUCACAACCUCUACGGGAAGACCAGAGUUUUAAAUUACGCCAUAAAAACAUACGAAGACCACGCUUUGUCUAAUAGGCAACAGCAGAUUAUAUGUUGCAGUGAAAUUCAUUGCUGCAUCCUUCUCCGUCACUUAAAACGCAUCGGGCAGUUUUCAAUAAGAAUUCAGCUUUGCGGGCUACAAUGGGUGCGUGAAAAUUGACAGACAUAGAAGAUAACCAAUAGAGGGACAGACUGCGUCCAGAUUCAUGUUACUUCUAUCAAUCGGAACACGGGGUGGGAGGAACUGUUUUCCUCAGUUUCUGAUUGAAUCAGCCCAGUUCCAAUUAGUUGCGAAGAUAUGACACAAUAGAACGAGCGGAUAUGGAUGAAAACAAAACACUUCUAGAUUGGAACUAAGCUGGCGAUUCUCCUUUCGGCAAAAUAUGGAAUGAAAUGGAAGCCAUCACACGGUUUAUUGAGUGUGGAUACCUCUGUCUACUUCAGCGAAAUAGGGGGAGAGCCAAAGGAUUCAUCUGCACCAAGGCCGGGUCCUUCCGCUAGGCCCAUAGCCAACCCGUUCCCCGACACCAGCUGCUCCAAAAGCAGGAGAUGAGACCAAAGACACUAUCAACACUGUCUAGAGGCUCAGGGCCAGUUCUCAGCCCAUGUCACAGGUGGGCCAUAUGCGUUAAGGCCUGUGGUUCCGAACCGAUGAAAGGCCCAGCGGAGCACUCUUUCUGGGCCUGCAUUUCAUUUCAAUUUCCAUAUGAAUGUUCUGGGCCACUUAGCUAUCCCCAGUUCCCCCUCCCAGACCUGGCGAUAAUAUUCUCAAUGUCAUUACGGUGGGAAGAGCAGAACAAAGGCCCUUCUUAUUUAAGUGAAGAGGGAGCUUGAAGGUCAAACAGGAAGAUCAAACGGAGAUGAGAAACAGAGUGCAUGCAGCACGGGGAGUGUUCUUCAAUUCAAAACAUGAAGCCUUUUUUUCCAGCAGAUCAAAAGACUUUGAAAUGUUUACAUUCAUCAUGGACACGGACGAAAGCAUGUGGACAAUGGACACCUGGCCAUGUUUUGUAUGAUGGUGCAGUGCAGGGUAUGCCUGGCCUUUUCUUUUCUUUUUUGCCUGGUUCUCCUAACUGUUUACUUACUUAUUUACUGGCAGCAGUAUGAAAGUAUGGUUUAAGAUAAAUGGACAAUUUAGUAUUGUUACACAAGAUUUUGUCACAGAGUCACUUUGCUCUGAACUGAUAAUUGCUCUGUUGUGGCUUUAUUUUAGGGCAUGAAUCUCAGAGGCAUAAGUAACAAGGCUUGACAUAAUCAUAAUCCCUUUGGGCUGAGAUCUUUCUCUGCCUGUAAUUGACACUGGUGAUGGGGCUGCAUAGCUUCAUCUGGAAGGUGAAACUUGACUUGAGAUCUGAUCUGUGAAAGCUCUGAGGACUUACCAAUAUUAGCAUGUAACAGUGCACUCUGUCUGAGUCAGGAGUCUGAUUCAAGAUUGAUGACUGAUUGAUGGUUACAGAUUGGACACAAGGAACGAAACAUUUUGAGAGGUGCAGGAGUGUAUGUAGCUAUACAGAGCACCACCAUCAAUGAGGUGAGCUUAUAAUCUAACAGAAUCAUACAUUUGGACACCAACUCAGCACUUAUGACACUCUGCAACCACACUAAUAAUUAAGACAUGUACUGUAAGCCACAAUAAUUCAAGUGUUACUGUUUAACAACCAAAUAAUUACCUCUGACUUUGUAUUGCGAAUGAAUGGUGUUCUUUAGACCAGCAUUGUUUGGUUGUUACCAAACUCAAAACAAAAGAUUUUAAUGAAUAUUCAUGAAAGAGAACAAUUUGUGUCUGCCCUGAUAGGGAAUACUUGUAUAUGUUUACCCAAAUUAUUUUUGUGCAUGUGUGUGUCACA